GAACGAGAAAGGGGAGCAAUCCCUGAGUAAAGUGGCGACCGGGUGAGUAACACGUGACCAAUCUACCCUCGAGUGGGGGAUAACUCCGGGAAACCGGGGCUAAUACCGCAUAACACUUACGAGUCAAAGCAGCAAUGCGCUUGAGGAGGGGGUCGCGGCCGAUUAGCUAGUUGGCGGGGUAAUGGCCCACCAAGGCGAUGAUCGGUAUCCGGCCUGAGAGGGCGCACGGACACACUGGAACUGAAACACGGUCCAGACUCCUACGGGAGGCAGCAGUGGGGAAUUUUGCGCAAUGGGGGAAACCCUGACGCAGCAACGCCGCGUGGAGGAUGAAAUCCCUUGGGAUGUAAACUCCUUUCGAUCGGGACGAUUAUGACGGUACCGGAAGAAGAAGCCCCGGCUAACUUCGUG
rnacentral:rRNA from 1 species